rnacentral:rRNA from 1 species
GGGGAAUUUUCCGCAAUGGGCGCAAGCCUGACGGAGCAAUACCGCGUGCGGGAGGAAGCUUUUUGGAGUGUAAACCGCUUUUCUCAGGGAAGAUGAUGACGGUACCUGAGGAAUCAGCAUCGGCUAACUUCGUGCCAGCAGCCGCGGUAAUACGAGGGAUGCAAGCGUUAUCCGGAAUUAUUGGGCGUAAAGCGUUCGUAGGUGGCUAAGUUAGUCUGUCGUUAAAACGUGGAGCUUAACUCCAUACCGGCGAUGGAAACUGCUUGGCUAGAGUAUGGUAGGGGUAAGAGGAAUUCCCAGUGUAGCGGUGAAAUGCGUAGAUAUUGGGAAGAACACCAGCGGCGAAAGCGUCUUACUGGGCCAUUACUGACACUGAGGGACGAAAGCUAGGGGAGCGAAAGGGAUUAGAUACCCCUGUAGUCCUAGCCGUAAACGAUGAGAACUAGGUGUUGCGCGUAUCGACCCGCGCGGUGCCGUAGCCAACGCGUUAAGUUCUCCGCCUGGGGAGUACGCACGCAAGUGUGAAACUCAAAGGAAUUGACGGGGGCCCGCACAAGCGGUGGGGUAUGUGGUUUAAUUCGAUGCAACGCGAAGAACCUUACCAAGGCUUGACAUCCCUGGAAUCUUUUGGAAACAGAAGAGUGCCUUCGGGAACCAGGAGACAGGUGGUGCAUGGCUGUCGUCAGCUCGUGUCGUGAGAUGUUGGGUUAAGUCCCGCAACGAGCGCAACCCACGUUUUUAGUUGCCAUCAUUUAGUUGGGCACUCUAGAGAGACUGCCGGUGACAAACCGGAGGAAGGUGUGGAUGACGUCAAGUCAGCAUGCCCCUUACGUCUUGGGCUACACACGUACUACAAUGCUACGGACAAAGGGCAGCCAAUCAGCAAUGACGCGCAAAUCCCAUAAACCGUAGCUCAGUUCAGAUCGUAGGCUGCAACUCGCCUACGUGAAGGCGGAAUCGCUAGUAAUCGCAGGUCAGCAUACUGCGGUGAAUACGUUCCCGGGCCUUGUACACACCGCCCGUCACACCAUGGGAGUUGGUCACGCCCGAAGUGGUUACCCUAACCGUAAGGAGGGGGACCCCUAAGGCAGGGCUGAUGACUGGGGUGAAGUCGUAACAAGGUAGCCGUACCGGAAGGUGUGGCUGGAUCACCUCCU